rnacentral:rRNA from 1 species
UACGUAGGGCGCAAGCGUUAUCCGGAAUUAUUGGGCGUAAAGAGCUCGUAGGCGGUUUGUCGCGUCUGCCGUGAAAGUCCGGGGCUCAACCUCGGGCCUGCAGUGGGUACGGGCAGACUAGAGUGCGGUAGGGGAGAAUGGAAUUCCUGGUGUAGCGGUGGAAUGCGCAGAUAUCAGGAGGAACACCGAUGGCGAAGGCAGUUCUCUGGGCCGUAACUGACGCUGAGGAGCGAAAGCGUGGGGAGCGAACAGG